rnacentral:lncRNA from 1 species
AGAGAGAGAGCAGAGAGCAUGCACGCAAGGGAGACAGAGAGAUCAAGAGAGGCAGAGCAAGAGAACAAGAGAGCAAGAGAGAGAGGGGCCCAGCAGGAGGGAGUUUUUAUAGCCCAAAUCUAACGGGGCCUCUGGGUCUGCAAGCUGCCUUGUUGGCACAAGGGGGGGUUGAGUGUUCAGCCUUGAGUGGGGGUUGAAUGUUCAUCUUUGACGCAAACAGGUGAUAAAGGACCAGACAGAGGGGGGUUUGAGUGCGUGGGCCAUCCUGCAGCUAACAUUUGUUCAGUCUGCCCUGCAGAUAACAUAGUUCCGCCUGUUCUGCACCCAACAGUAACAACAAACAGUCAAUGGAAAAUAACACAGACUCAAAAAUCGGCUAAAAUGUAAAAGAUGGCCUACCCACGGUUGUUAGGGAUAAGGAGCAAUAGGACCUCCCGGGAGCUGGUGGGAGCAUACAAUGGCACAAUUUAGGAAAACCAUCUUACACUAGCUUAAAACUGAGGUCACGGAUACUGCAAGACCCAGGGAUCCUGCUCUCAUACCCGAGAGAGAGCCAUGGAGAUGUGCACCAUGAUGCAUGGUCAAGAGCAUCCACAUGGGACAGGGGUAAAGAAUACGGGAACAUAGUAAGGAAGAGGGCCCGGCUUUAAAUCCAGAAGCUCCCUGCACACCCUCACCCUCACUCUGUCCUGCUUCCUCCAGGCCCAAGUUCUUAAAGAUUCCAAUAAGUCUAGAGAACUGUAAAUCUAGUUAGCACCUGGACACUUUGUUAGUUUGUGGCGUGAUUAAAAGAAGCCUGGAGAGAGACUGUUUCAGAGACCCAGGGUAUGGGUACCGUGCACAUGCUGUUAACUAGAUAACGUCAACCUAAAGAUCCCGAGAGCAGCCAGACCCCUCUGACCUGCUCGGUGCUCAUGAUGGCGAGAUUCCAGCUCCCUGGACAGCCCACGUACUUCUGACAUGGUCAUUUACGGCUUCCUUCUAAAGAAACCUGAGACCCCCAAAGGUGCAGGUGGCUCUCCAGCACCCACUUCCCCUGGCUGUGAGUGGGUGUCUGCUCUGAGCAAACCUCUUUGCUUUCCCAAAUAAAUCUUCACCUAUGCCUCUCCGGAUACACCCUGGAAUUCCUUUCUGGGUCAGGAGCCUGCCAAGGCUGAGUUGAGUUCCCCUUUUCUCUUCUGGGGAACUCCUUGGACUCCAUCUGGUGACAACAGCAACACUGUUCAUAACAGCCCCAUAUCAUCCAACAACACAGUGGAACAGUGAAUCAAAAUGCAUUUUUUCAAUAAUGAAAGUGGAUGAACUACAGCCACAUGCUGAAGAGGCGAUUCUUAACAAUACCCAGCAAAGGAAGACACAAGAGAAUUGGUUCCACUUAGACGGAGACACUAAACAGACCAACUGUGCACUAUGUAGCUGAGGGAUACACGUUACAUAGCAGAAAAAAACCCUCAAAAUCCCGGCAAUUUAAAGCAACAAAGGUUUCUUUCUUCCUUGUAUUAAUAUGCGCUGCAGGUUGCCUGCAUUUUCUAUGUAUUUUUAAAAAUAUUUAGUUAGAGUUGGACAUAAUACAUUUAUUUUAUUUAUUUAUUUUUAUGUGGUGCUGAACCCAGGGCCUCACAUGUGAGGGGCAAGCGCUCUACCACUGAGCCACAGCGCCAGCCUUGAGGUUGCCAAGUCCUGUGGUCACUUUGCACCAUCCUCUUGCUGAACGCAGCAGCAGCAGCACGGGACAAAGGUGACACUGUCCUCUUCCUUGACAGUGAUUUUUCACUCAGCUGCCAGGCGCUGUGCUCUCCUGGUUGUCCUCCGUUACGGGCCACUUCUUCCCAGCCUCCUUGAUGGCUCCUUCCCCUCUUCCCAGCCCCUGCGGGACUCAAGCCUCAGAUGCUUCUCUUCCUUACACACACACACACACACACACACACACACACCCUUGGUGGACUCACCUAGUUUCUGACUUCGAUGCCAUCAACAUAGUGAGGAUCCCUCCCAGACCUCUCCGCUGAACACCAGAUGGGCACACCAGUUGCACCUGUCACUUGGAGGUCCCCCAGAACCCCUGACUCGCAUGGAUGAAAGAGCACCUUGAUUCUCUUUUCUAACCUGCUCCCUCUGGGACCUGCACCAUCUUAGUAAGUGGCACCAUCAUGUGUUCAGCUGUUCAAGACACAAACCUACUAGUUAUUCUCAACCAACCCUAUUUUCCCUAUUUCAGCCGGAUCCCUCCAGUCCUGCUGACUUGGCCUCCUGGGCACAGACUCAGGCUGUGAAGCUCUCUAAGAAGGUCCCAUCCCCAGAAUCUCUGCCUGGGGAGGGCAGCCCCCUCAGGGGUCUCUUUGCUGCUCCACCUGCAGUCGCUCUCCUCUCAGGGGUCUUUUGAAGAGCAAUGCUUGCAUGUCCUUGCCUAAACCAUUGCAUACCCCCUUCAGCCUGGCAUUUCCCACGCCUCUCUGUCGCUCCUGGUGGCCACCAUACUCUAACCAAAGUCGGCUAUUUUGAUUUUUCAAAUAUCCAAAGCCUUUCCCCUCUGAGGUUCCAGGCACAUGGUUGCCCUGUCUUGGAGGCUGGUGUUCCAGGGACUUCUUAUGUAUAACAAGGCGUCCCAGAAGUUGGUGACUCAAGACGAUAGUUAUUGUGGUUCCUGGGGCUGACGGCAUUCAGCCCGAGGGUCCUGGUGCUGGUGCAGUGGGGUGGGGGCAGCUGUGGUCCUCUGAGGCGCCACUUAGCUGCUGGGUGCUCAAGACAGCUCACUCCUGUGACCGGAAGUUGACCCUGGAUGUCAGCUGGGAGCCCAGCCGGAGCUGUUCCUGGAAUGCCCACACAGGGACACAGGGACACACCAUGGAACUCUGGCUUCGCACAGCAGGACAGCUGGGUUCUGAGAGAGACCGUGGCCUAGAAACGGAGUCCCACGAGACCAAAAGCAAAAGCUUCCUGAGAGACUCCUGGUGACUUCCAGAAAUGACACAGCAUCACGUCUGCCAUAUUCUAUUGGCCAAAGAUGUCACAGGUCCCAACUAGAGCCAAAAGGUAGAGGAACAACUCCUGUCCUGAUGAGGGAGUGCAGAGUGACAUGGAGACAGGCUGCAGCCAUCUUUGGGAAAAUACAAUCUCCCACAGCUAAUUUCUUGCCCUCCCUCCCU